GAAGAUGAAGGCACGCUAGUUGGGAGGAGGGUAGAAAUUAUUCUUGAUCGACCAGCUGGGCUCAUUUGGGUUGAGCUCCGCUCUAAUCCAAGCUGCAAGGUUGUCUUUUCAGAAGCAGACCAGAAGCAAGAAUCUUCCUCGUCCUCUCCUGCCAUUGCUGACUUACUUUCUUCACUCUCGAAUUAGCAAAAAAUUGUCCAUCUGAAGGACAGCAUCACAGAAGAUAAUCCAGUUAAGCAAGCAGAGAAAACCAAGUUGAAAGAACAGGAAGAAGAAACUCUCUUUAGGAAGACGGUGAUGGAAAAAUAUGGUAGCCUUGAGCUGACUGACAAAGAAUGGCAGCUGCUGUACAAUUACUUCCAAAUAAUGACAGCUAUUGAGAACAGUCAACAGCAGUUCCAGUCACAAGCUUCUACCACUGACAAGAUCUUAGACACGUUUUUCGAGACAUCUGAAGAUGACUUCUUCCCUAAAUGAAACAGAGAAAUUCACGAUUCACCAGUUGGAUUUUUCUUUUUUUUUAAUGCUACCAGCAACUGCUGCAGUUAAAAAAGUUGGCAUAGCGGCUUAUUUUGAAGACCUGAUGUUAUGAUACAACACUGUGUUAGAGAAAUCAGGUUGUGAUUCUUAGCAUAUAAGCAGUUUAAACCUAAUUGUCUUGCCAGGCUGGGGAUAGAUAGCAGCCCCAAAUUUCAGAGUUUCAGAGAUUACAGCUCCUUUGGUCCAGAAACAACUUUAUUUUAAUAUUUUCUAUAUUUUUGCCAGAGAGCAAUUUUUCCACCUUCAGAGAAAACUACCUUUGCAUCCAUUUCAAAUUUUAAAAUUUAAAUUAAAAAAAUGAUCUUCAAAGCAAAAGGUUUCAAAUCAAGCAAACUUGGAAUGAAUUUAAAACAUUUUUUUUUUUGCAUACAAAUUGUAGAUGUGUAACUGAUUUAUGGAACCCCUUCAAAGGUGAAAAUAAU